rnacentral:rRNA from 1 species
UACUCCUACGGGAGGCAGCAGUCGGGAAUUUUGCCCAAUGGACGAAAGUCUGAGGCAGCAACUCCGCGUGAGGGAUGAAGGCUCUCGGGUCGUAAACCUCUUUUCUCAGGGAAGAUCCAAGACGGUACCUGAGGAAUAAGCGACGGCUAACUACGUGCCAGCAGCCGCGGUAAU